UUUACCACAGGCUAAUACGUACAUAUCUCUAUUUUUGCAGUUGUAGCCAUUGGAAAAUUUCCAAAGAGGAAGGGAGAUCAGACAAACAUGCACAGACGAACACAAUCAAGGUAUUGUGCUAGCAGGCAUUCUAAAUCUUGGCACUAGAAGAAGCUGGCAAGGACUGCUACUUGGCCUACCGCUACUAAAGUCUGAUACUCCUAAGCUAAUGGCUGUUCUUCAAAUUUCAUCACUGGGACUUCUCACUGGUGACCAUUUGUCUCCUUCUGUCUGGCACAUGAAGACUGAACCCCUUGUGUUGGAUGAGCCUGUAUAAUAGAUCUGGUGAGUCUCACAUCAAACAUGAUGUUUUAUGUGUAGGUCAAAAUCCUCCAAAGCUUUCUGUUAUUUCUC
rnacentral:lncRNA from 1 species